UGCAGGUGAUUCUUAAGCCUCUAGGGGCUGCUGACUUUGUGGGAGAUGGUUGGCCAGGGAGAGGAUGAUGGGCUCAGUGGGCUUGGGCAGCAGAGUGGAUCUUGCAGGUUACAGGGUCCAAUGGGUGGCAGUGGUGGUGGAGCUGUCUGCCCACAGGACUCUUACCUGCUGGCCUGCUGCUGGGGCUCCUUCUCCAAUUGGUCCCGGUAGUACUUGUGCCUCUAGGAACUGCUGACUUUGUGGGGCAAUGGUUGGCCAGGGAGAUGAUAGUGGGCUGGGUGGGCCUUUGUGGCAGAGUGGGUCUUGCAGGAUACAGGGUCCAAUGGGCCAAUCUUUAUCAAUUUUAAUGAUAUCCAUAGCUUUUCUUCUCCUAUCGAAACAAAAGCAAAACCUCUUCCCCAACAUUUCACAUAUCCUGGUUUCCAUUCUGAUGUCAACAUAUCUUUGAAGUAUAGAGGUUGAUUUAAUUUAUCAAAUUUUUUUUCUACUGUUCAAUGUCUCUCUGCAGCUAUCAUUCCUUUCUCGUUAGCAUUUAAAACUUUAAAAUUAAUGAAGCAUUAUAUAGUCUACCUCUCGGAUCUUUAUUACCUCUUUCUAUUUAUUAAGCAUAUCUUUUAAAGUGCAAUUUGAUAUUUCUUUAAUUUCUUGUUCUGUAGGAUUGUGUGAUAUAUAUGUAAUAUGCUUUAUGUUGUAAUAUGGAAAAGAAAAUUGUUUCAUUUUACUAGAGAUAUAUGACGAAGCAUUGUCAGUCUUAAUUUUACAGUUAUUCCCAUAAUGGCCAUAACUUCUAAUAAAUGUGUAAUUACAGAAUCAACCCUUUAGAACUUAAAGCAGUUGCCCAUUGAAAUCUUGAAUAUUUAUCUAUGGUAUGGUGCACAUACUUUAAUUUUCAGAACUCUAUAAAAUGAAACACAUCCAUUUGCCAAAAUUUCAUGUCUUCAUAUACUCUUUUGGUUACUUCAUGCAGGUAGUGGAGUUUAGCUAUACAAAGAAUAAGAAGGACAUUUCAUUAUAGUUUCCUUGGCUUGUUGCAAAGAGACAGAAAAACCUUUUUUCAAACUUUUGCUAUUAACAUGGUAUUUCUUAUGAAAUUCUGAGAAUUUCCUACCAAUAGCUGAUCAAUUUUAUCAUUACUUUCUGCUAGAGGGUUUUGUAGACCCAUAUGGGAUAUGAUAUAUGUUAUAUAUAAGGGAUGAUUUAUAUUUCUCAUUAUUUCUUGUAACUGAACAAAUAACAAAGUUAAUUCUGAAUAAUCUGGACUAAGUUCAGUAGUUUAAAUAUAUAAAACAGCUCUUUCUGCUUAUUGAGAGCCAGUAUCUAUAUUAGGAGUUUCUGGAAAAUCUAAUAAUACCAUGAGAAUAGCAGAUAACUCUGACUUUUGAACAGAAUCAUAAGGGCUCUGAGCCAAUUUACUUAAAUUUCCUGACUUACAACCUGCCUUUCCUGAUUUAUUUGCAUCAGUAUAGAAUGUAGGGGUUCCAGAAGUUGCUGUUCCUCAUACAAUGUGAGAAAAGAUCCAAUUGAUUCUUUUUAUAAAUUGAAGUCUUAUCACAGACCAUUAGAGGCCAGCUCCCACGAUCUGCUCCAGGGCAGUGAAAAAGAAGACCUCAGAGUAGCAAGGGUUUAGGAAACACUUUUAUGUGAGAGUUUUUAGAAAUAAGUUUCUGUCUAUCUGAGGGGUAAGUAAUAAGGAAACACAUAUGAUUUCUGGUGGUAACUUUCUCUCUUACUUCAACUCAAGAAAUCCUCUCUCUUAAAAUUUCUCUCUGGAAAUAUCUCUGUCUCCAUGCAGUUACAUCUCUUUACAUACAGCUACAUUUUUCACAUAUACUUACACAGCACCCUCUUCUCUCUGAAAAUCUCUCUUGUUCUCUCUCCUGCCUAACUCUUCAUGUUCUCUCCUCAGCUCCUUCUGCACACACACACUCACACUCUAACAUACACACACUCACUGCCCAGCUCUUUCCACAGUUCCUUCACACAGCUCUUCCUUUAUGGCAGCAGCUCUCACAUAGCUCUACACAGCCAUCUCUCUCCACACUGCCACUGCUGCUCCACAGCCAAACUCAGGACAAUAAGUUACAGUGUCAGGAUCCUACCCAUGUCCUCUCUCUCUCUCUCUCUCUCUCUCUCUCUCUCUCUCUCUCUCUCUCUCUUUGGUUUUUUGAGAAAGGGUUUCUCUGUGUAGUUUUGGUGCCUGCCUUGGAUCUCACUCUGUAGACCAGGCUGACUUUGAAUUCACAGAGAUCCGCCUGGCUCCCGAGUGCUGGGAUUAAAGGUGUGCGCCACCACCACCCGGACCUACCCAUUUUCAAAACACAAGGGAUUCCUGUAUGAGAAUGUAUAGAAGGUAAUAUGACCAGGAAACAAUCAAGCUCUGGAUCCAAGUGAACCGCAUGUACAUCCCAUAAUUUCUCUUCUACCAAAGUCAAUUCUCUCUCAGCCUCAGAUGAUAAUUUUCUUGGAUUAUUCAAGUCCUUAUCAUCUUGUAAGGUUUGAAAUAAAUUACUUAGUUCUUGAGUUGUCAAUCCAA